CUACAUUCCAAAUGUUUUGAAUUGUCGUGUUUUCCUUUUGAUUGGCUUCCAUAUAUUUUUUUAAUUUCUUCUUUAAUUUCCUGGUUGACCCAUUCAUUCUU